rnacentral:rRNA from 1 species
UACGGGGGGGGGGUAAGCGUUGUUCGGAAUUACUGGGCGUAAAGGGCUCGUAGGCGGCCAACUAAGUCGGACGUGAAAUCCCUCAGCUUAACUGGGGGAACUGCGUCCGAUACUGGAUGGCUUGGAUUUGGGAGAGGGAUGCGGAAUUCCAGGUGUAGCGGUGAAAUGCGUAGAUAUCUGGAGGAACACCGGUGGCGAAGGCGGCAUCCUGGACCGGCAUUGACGCUGAGGAGCGAAAAGCUAGGGGGAGCAAAACGGG